rnacentral:lncRNA from 1 species
GCUCGCCUCUUCCAGGCCAAAGACAGAUGGGAGAGGUGCCAGGCUUCCGUCCAGACCGGGGCAGCCAGCCAGCCCCUGCCUCCGAGGUCCCCGUCAUGUGCCCUGCCCCAGCCUGCUGGAGGGACUGAGACCCAGAGGCACAGGCAGGGCUGGCUGAGGAAAGCCUCCUGACAGUGCUGUCCUGUACACAGCCACAUGGGACGACAAUGGCCCAGAGUGGGAAAGCAGAGGACAGGACAACCGACAGGCUCUGGCUAUGUUGCCUACACUGGUCUCAAACUCCUGGACUCAAAGCAAUUCUCCUGCCUUGGCCUCCUGAGGAGCUGUGUGUGCACCACAGAAACCAGUUCUUAAUAAAAACAAAACUAAUCAAUGGGGAACGGAAAGAUCUAAACUCACAGAUCCCAGACUCAAAUGGUGAGUGAUAUUUUGAUGCUGGCCUCUCGUUCGGACGAGGCUGAUCAGAUUCGGGUUAUCUCCGCUUCCUCCCCCUCCCCGGCCUUCACGCUCACCCACCGACCUCCUUCCCCGCGAAGGCCUCUCUGCACCCGCUGCCACCCCACUGCGCCUGACAGUUGGGCAGCUGGAACCGAGGCAGCGGCUGCUGCUGCCAGGGCCGUGGGCCGAGAGGGAGCCGGGCGUGGCCCAGAGACUGAGGGGCCCAGAGGCUCCGUCACCUUCCACUGCAGACCGACCGGGCGAGGCUGUGCCCCGAAGCCGCCCCAGCCUCCUAUUGACUGAGAGGAGCCGGCCCAGCCUCGGCCCGCAGCACAACCCCCAGGGACCGUGCUGACGUCACAAGCACACGGCUGUGCGCUCCUCCAUCAAAGUCCGCAGCUUCCUCGUAAAACAGCAUCAGCUGGGCACAGUGACAGUCCCUGAAUCCCAGUCUCCCAGGAGGCCAAGGCAGGAGGAUGCAAACUCAAACCCAGACUGAGCAGCUUAGCACAAUCCUGUCUCGGAAUAAAAUUCUAAACAGGGCUGGCGGCGCGGCUCAGGGUCACCUGGGGGCCCUGGCUCCAUCUUCGCCCUGGGGGGAAAAACAACUAAAACCCUGGGCUCAAAGCAUUAACGUUUAAGGGAAAGUGCUAGGUGGGGAAUUUGGGCUGUGAGAAGAGCCAGCCUCCCUCCCUGCAGGAGCUGCAGCCACACGGCGGCCCCAGGCCACGGCCCAGCUCCUGGAACUCGUCAUCUUCCCUGCCGGCUGGAAGGACCCACGAGGGACUCGAGGGACUCGGGGGCGCGCUGACCGCCCCGCCCCGCCCCGGGGGUAGGAAUCUGCCUGGCAACAGGAGCCCCUGCACCGCGGCGCCGCCACCUACCCCGGCGGGGGCGGGCGUUGGCCUCUCGGAGCGGCUGAAACCGAU